rnacentral:rRNA from 1 species
GUCCACGCCCUAAACGAUGUCAACUGGUUGUUGGGAGGGUUUCUUCUCAGUAACGAAGCUAACGCGUGAAGUUGACCGCCUGGGGAGUACGGCCGCAAGGUUGAACUCAAAGGAAUUGACGGGGACCCGCACAAGCGGUGGAUGAUGUGGUUUAAUUCGAUGCAACGCGAAAACCUUACCUACCCUUGACAUGUCUGGAAUCCUGAAGAGAUUUGGGAGUGCUCGCAAAGAGAACCAGAACACAGGUGCUGCAUGGCCGUCGU